rnacentral:rRNA from 1 species
UGGGGAAUUUUGGACAAUGGGCGCAAGCCUGAUCCAGCCAUGCCGCGUGUGUGAAGAAGGCCUUCGGGUUGUAAAGCACUUUCGGCCGGAACGAAAUCGCCUUUGUUAAUAGCGAAGGUGGAUGACGGUACCGGAAGAAGAAGCACCGGCUAACUACGUGCCAGCAGCCGCGGUAAUACGUAGGGUGCGAGCGUUAAUCGGAAUUACUGGGCGUAAAGGGUGCGCAGGCGGCCCCGCAAGUCAGGCGUGAAAUCCCCGGGCUUAACCUGGGAAUGGCGCUUGAAACUACGGGGCUGGAGUAUGGCAGAGGGAGGUGGAAUUCCACGUGUAGCGGUGAAAUGCGUAGAGAUGUGGAGGAACACCGAUGGCGAAGGCAGCCUCCUGGGCCAAUACUGACGCUCAUGCACGAAAGCGUGGGGAGCAAACAGGAUUAGAUACCCUGGUAGUCCACGCCCUAAACGAUGAUGACUAGUUGUUGGAGGAGUUAAAUCCUUUAGUAACGCAG